GCGCCCUUCGCCAAGUUGGACUAAGGCACCGGAUUUUGAUUCCGGCAUUCGACCGUUCGAAUCGAUCAGGGCGUG
rnacentral:tRNA from 1 species